GACCCAUAGUUCAGUGACAGAGCAUCUGCUUUGCAUGCAGAAGGUCCCAAGUUCGAUACCCAGCAGCAUCU